rnacentral:rRNA from 1 species
AGCGAACGCUGGCGGCAGGCCUAACACAUGCAAGUCGAACGAACCUUUCGGGGUUAGUGGCGGACGGGUGAGUAACACGUGGGAACGUGCCUUUAGGUUCGGAAUAACUCAGGGAAACUUGUGCUAAUACCGAAUGUGCCCUUCGGGGGAAAGAUUAAUCGCCUUUAGAGCGGCCCGCGUCUGAUUAGCUAGUUGGUUGAGGUAAUGGCUCACCAAGGCGACGAUCAGUAGCUGGUCUGAGAGGAUGAUCAGCCACAUUGGGACUGAGACACGGCCCAAAGUGGAGCGGGAGGAAGGAGGGGGGAGGGAUGAGCAGGGGGAGAAAGAGUGACGCAGCCAUGGGGCGUGAAUGAUGAAGGUCGUAUGUAUGAAACAUUCUUUCGGCGGGAAGGAUGAGGACGGUACAGGGAGAAGAAGCCCCGGCUAACGACGGGAAAGCAGCGGGGUUAAGAGACCGAAGAGGAGAGUGUAAGC